AUCGAACGCUGGCGGCAGGCCUAACACAUGCAAGUCGAGCGGAAGAAGCGAGCUUGCUCCUGGAUUUAGCGGCGGAAGGGUGUGUAAUGCCUAGGAAUCUGCUUCGCAGUGGGGGAUAACGUCUGCAGACGGCUGCUAAUACCGCCUACGAGCUGCGCGUGCAGGUGGGGGAUGUUCGGACCUCACGCUCGCAGGUGAGCCUAGGCCGGAGUAGCUAGUUGGUGGGGUAAGGGCCUACUUAGGCGACGAUCCGCAACUGGUCUGAGAGGGUGGUCAGUCACACUGGAACUGAGACAGGGUCAAGGCUACUACGAGAGGGAGCAGUGGGGAAUGUUGGACAGUGGGCGAGAACCUGAUCCAGCCAUGCGGAGUGUGUGAAGAAGGUCUUGGGAUUGGAAAGCACUCUAAGUUGGGGGGAACCGCAGUAAGUUGAGACCUUGCUGUAUUGACGUUACCAACAGAAUAAGCACCGGCUAACUUCGUG
rnacentral:rRNA from 1 species